UAAGACCAGUGGGACCCAUUCUACGUUCGCUGGCACUAUGUAAGGGAAAGACCAGGACCCAUUCUACGUUCUGGCACAGUUGGACCAUGUAGAGGGCUAUUGGUGACAAGUUCAUCCUUGAUGUGAUUAGCUGUGAUGUGAUGCAUUCCAUGAUCCAUAUGAUUUAAGUGUUUUUAUUAUUCUGCUCACUGGGCUCUAGUAGCUCACCCCUCUCC
rnacentral:lncRNA from 1 species